UAUCCGAGCUGCCAUCAACUGCUUACAAAAUGUCCUUGCACUUCAGUGCAGCAGUUACAAACAUACAGUGGUUGAACAAAUGAAACAGAAGGUCAGGCCAGAGAUAAUGAGUUGGGAGUAAUAAUUUUGGAUACCAGUAGCGUCAAGGCCCUUUGAGACUGCACUACCUGGAUUGGAGUUUAAUGGUGGAACCCACACACCCUGUACCAGCCACAUUAACAAUGGGUUCAGACUGGAAUCAGAACGUGUCUAGGCCAUGGAAAAGAUGCCUGAUGCCUUCAGCUACAGUGAUGCAACAAAGCAAGAUAAUGAGUUAAUCCAGACAUAGUUUAAUGAUUUAAUCAUCUCUGUCUCUUAUUAUACAUUCAAUCUGAUGAAACAAAUUGACAAGUAGAAACUCCACACACCCACAUGUAUCUAUUUCCGAUAAAUAGAGGCCUCCUUUUCUUUCCAGUUGCCUCCCUUUACCGUGUGCUUUUCUCCUGCCAGUGACACUGGAUCAUAAACAUAUUUAAUCUUCUGGCAUUUGGGGGCCUUAACUACACUAAUGAAAAAUAAACCUUUUGUAAAAUGAUGGUAUUUAGAGUAUCAGAACAUCCACAUUCUCCUAGAUCUCAACAGCAUUGGCAAGUGGAUAAGUUAUUUUUUGUAAGUCAUAACUCUGUUAGUUACCUCUUUACAAAGCGCAGUAAGCUUAGCCAUUAAGUCGCUCAGUCCCAGAAAAUGUUAGCGGUUUGAUCCCCAUGCCAUGCUGGGUUAGCUGAUUUCAGCCAGACGGGCCUAAGUGGACCUGUGACUAGCAUUCCUUGUAUUAAUCUCUAGCCCGUAAACCUUAAUCAAAGGGCGCAUGUGUAAAUAUUGAGCAAGGACCGACCCCAUUUGAGUUCUGAUGUCCUUACACUCUAAUGGCCUGCCCAAGAUCUAUACAUGAGCAGUAAUAACUUGGGUGUGGCACCGA